UGAGCGAUGACAAAAGACAAAUAAUUGU
rnacentral:piRNA from 1 species